rnacentral:other from 1 species
AGAGUCCUGAUGUGUUCGUCGUAUAUCCUGAAAUUUUGACCGAACAUAUUACCUUCGGGAGUCCGGAGUUUUUCCGCAGCGUAAAUGCCUUUGUAUAUAAGGACUUACAAACGCAGAAAACAGGACACCCACCUGCAUUAGUGCGGGUUCAAAAUGAAGGCCUAAGAGCGACGGCAUAAUUGGGACUCUU